rnacentral:lncRNA from 1 species
CGAAGUAGGAUUAUCCCAUUAAACACAUUAUUCAUGAAAACCAUCUAAAUUUAAAUAGCAAUCAUCCAUUUCCAAUGCGUAAGGACCGAACCACUAAUCCUUCUUAGGAACAUUCCAGAGGACUCUACCCACUUUCAUUGCCUUCUUCCUUCAAACACCAUCCCUCUCCAUUCCUCUUCAUCCUCCAUUGCCUUUCGCUCUAUGGAUUCUAUGGUCCACUCCAAUUUCGCUCUCCCCCUCCAU